AGAGUUUGAUCAUGGCUCAGAUUGAACGCUGGCGGCAUGCUUUACACAUGCAAGUCGAACGGUAACGCGGGGGCAACCCUGGCGACGAGUGGCGAACGGGUGAGUAAUACAUCGGAACAUAUCCAGUAGCGGGGGAUAACCUAUCGAAAGAUGGACUAAUACCGCAUACGAUCUACGGAUGAAAGCAGGGGACCGCAAGGCCUUGCACUAUUGGAGUGGCCGAUGUCGGAUUAGCUAGUUGGUGGGGUAAAAGCUUACCAAGGCGACGAUCCGUAGCUGGUCUGAGAGGACGAUCAGCCACACUGGAACUGAGACACGGUCCAGACUCCUACGGGAGGCAGCAGUGGGGAAUUUUGGACAAUGGGCGCAAGCCUGAUCCAGCCAUGCCGCGUGAGUGAAGAAGGCCUUCGGGUUGUAAAGCUCUUUCGGUGAAGACGAAACGGUUAGUGCUAAUAACACUGACUAAUGACGGUACUCACAGAAGAAGCACCGGCUAACUACGUGCCAGCAGCCGCGGUAAUUCA
rnacentral:rRNA from 1 species